AGAGCUUGGCAGGCUUCAGGCAUAUGCUGUGGUCCAGGGUAAGCUGCGGCUGGCCACAGCGGCUGGCCUCAGCGCCUGGGCGCGUGGGGAGGAAGCGGCAGCAGGGCGACGUGAGUCAAGGCCAGUCCCGUGCGGCGGUGUGAGGACUGUGGAGAAUCUGAAGGGAGCUCCCUGGAAGAUGUACUUUGUUAUGCAGAAGGAACUGCAGUGAAGCCGGAGCUGCGUCUUGGUCCACGUUUCCAUUCCCACGAGAAUCACCAGGGAAGGGGUGCUGGGCGCCCACCCACAUCUCUUCUGCCCCUUCUGCUCCCUGGUAGGAAAGAGCGUUCAACUCCUCAAGACUGAGUGAACAGCUGGCCUUCGGGCAGGCCCCGUCCCCACUGCCACCCUGACGCCUCGGGUCCAGGUUCACCUUCACACGAGGGAGCCUCGCGUUCCUCCGGCCAGAGGACACAUCCUGGGGGCCGCAGGGGGAUGGACAGCGGCCAGGCUGCCAUCUCGAUGGCUCUUGGGCAGCUGUCCUCAGCAGCCCACCCAAGGCUUAUGUCCCAUCCCAGGGUCCCACGGAGGUCAGCGCUGCAAUGUGAAGCCUGGACUUUAGGAUGCCAAUGUCCACUUUGUGUCUCAAAAGUCCUUGACUUUAGGAAGCCCCAGGCUGCUGCUUUCCCUUUGUGUCGGCCAGCAUGUGGAAGGCUCCCUGCUCCAUGUCACCCAGGCUGUGCCCAGCAAAUCAGCCCCUGCUGGGGGCACCCACCCCUCCCACCUUACCCGGCAUUGCCUCUCGCAGAGAGAGGACGUUCCCUGUUGGCCGGGCCACACCUGGGCACACCCCCACUCAGGAGCCCACACAGCAGAUGGCUGCGGUCCAGCCGGCCACAGCUACGCUGAGCACCCCAUGACCACCCCAGGAGACAUUUGCUUUGGUUGCAGCAAGCUCCAAUCUACCAGGAAGCCCUCUCUCCCCGUGACUAAACAGAAAGUCUGAGCCUGCAUAUGUGCAAGCCCACCUUUUUCUUCUGUAUGAACAACUUUCCCCAUAUCCUUAGUGGUUAGUCUGGGCACUAUUCCCCUACAUCAGUGCUGGAACCCUUUAACGCUAUCAAUGGUAUACGUAGCCUACUGUGGCAUGCGUGCCGUGCUUCACCACCACUGCCCUCUAUGCCACAGCAGAAGUCUGAAUAAAGCCUCGUUUGGGUGGCAUGUUUU